UACGGAGGAUCCAAGCGUUAUCCGGAAUCAUUGGGUUUAAAGGGUCCGUAGGCGGUUUAAUAAGUCAGUGGUGAAAGCCCAUCGCUCAACGGUGGAACGGCCAUUGAUACUGUUAAACUUGAAUUAUUAGGAAGUAACUAGAAUAUGUAGUGUAGCGGUGAAAUGCUUAGAGAUUACAUGGAAUACCAAUUGCGAAGGCAGGUUACUACUAAUGGAUUGACGCUGAUGGACGAAGCGUGGGUAGCGAACAGG
rnacentral:rRNA from 1 species